rnacentral:rRNA from 1 species
AGCGAACGCUGGCGGCAGGCUUAACACAUGCAAGUCGAGCGGGCGUAGCAAUACGUCAGCGGCAGACGGGUGAGUAACGCGUGGGAACGUACCUUUGGUUCGGAACAACACAGGGAAACUUGUGCUAAUACCGGAUAAGCCCUUACGGGGAAAGAUUUAUCGCCGAAAGAUCGGCCCGCGUCUGAUUAGCUAGUUGGUGAGGUAAUGGCUCACCAAGGCGACGAUCAGUAGCGGUCUGAGAGGAUGAUCAGCCACAUUGGGACUGAGACACGGCCCAAACUCCUACGGGAGGCAGCAGUGGGAAUAUUGGACAAUGGGCGCAAGCCUGAUCCAGCCAUGCCGCGUGAGUGAUGAAGGCCCUAGGGUUGUAAAGCUCUUUUGUGCGGGAAGAUAAUGACGGUACGCAAGAAUAAGCCCCGGCUAACUUCGUGCCAGCAGCCGCCGUAAU